rnacentral:rRNA from 1 species
ACUAAGCGCAUACGGUGGAUGCCUUGGCAGUUAGAGGCGAUGAAGGACGUUGUAGCCUGCGAAAAGCUUCGAGGAGUCGGCAAACAGACUUUGAUCCGGAGAUGUCCGAAUGGGGAAACCCACCCGCAAGGGUAUCCUGCACUGAAUACAUAGGUGUAGGAGGCGAACGAGGGGAACUGAAACAUCUAAGUACCCUCAGGAAAAGAAAUCAAUUGAGAUUCCCACAGUAGCGGCGAGCGACCUGGGAGCAGCCUGCAAGUAAUAGCUUAGAAGUUAGGGAAACGGUCUGGAAAGUCCGGCGAUACAGGGUGAUAGCCCCGUACCUGAAAACUUCUUUGUGGUACUAAGCUUGCGAUAAGUAGGUCGGGACACGUGUUAUCUUGACUGAAGAUGGGGGGACCAUCCUCCAAGGCUAAAUACUACUAACUGACCGAUAGUGAACCAGUACCGUGAGGGAAAGGCGAAAAGAACCCCGGAGAGGGGAGUGAAAUAGAUCCUGAAACCGUAUGCGUACAAGCAGUGGGAGCACCUUCGUGGUGUGACUGCGUACCUUUUGUAUAAUGGGUCAGCGACUUAUUGUCUGUAGCAAGCUUAACCGUUUAGGGGAGGCGUAGGGAAACCGAGUCUUAAUAGGGCGUUUAGUUGCAGGCAAUAGACCCGAAACCGGGCGAUCUAUCCAUGGCCAGGUUGAAGGUGCCGUAACAGGCACUGGAGGACCGAACCCACUAACUUUGAA